UACGUAGGGUGCAAGCGUUAAUCGGAAUUACUGGGCGUAAAGCGUGCGCAGGCGGUUUUGUAAGUCAGAUGUGAAAUCCCCCGGGCUUAACCUGGGAACUGCGUUUGAAACUACAAGGCUAGAGUGUGGCAGAGGGGGGGUGGAAUUCCACGUGUAGCAGUGAAAUGCGUAGAGAUGUGGAGGAAUACCGAUGGCGAGGGCAGCCCCCUGGGAUAACACUGACGCUCAUGCACGAAAGCGUGGGGAGCAAACAGG
rnacentral:rRNA from 1 species